rnacentral:lncRNA from 13 species
UUUUGCUGUUUCAAUAUUGUUAUGUAAAGAUGUUGCCACAAGGUGGAGCCUUUAAAGAACAAGAAAUUUGGAAAUCCUUUAGAGCACCACUCUGGAAUUAGGCACAGAAGAGAGAGAAACCUCACCCCUGAUAGACUCUGUUUCGUAUGUCCAAAUUAUCUUUUCCUCAGUGUUCCCUGGAGGAAAAGAACAGCAACAAUCCAAGGGUUUAGGUCUCGGCAGUCUCUCUGAAUAACAGCAAUUGGCAACAUAUCCAAGGUUGUGUGAGGAAACAGAAAGAAUUGUUGCUGGCUACAUUCGUGAAAGAGAAGAGAAGACCAAGGAUCAGAUGCUGCUGCUCAUUGAUAUCCAGGUUUCUUAUAUCAACACCAACCAUGAAGACUUCAUUGGCUUUGCAAAGUCAUCCGGAAAGGCUGGCUCA